GACGAACGCUGGCGGCGUGCUUAACACAUGCAAGUCGAACGGAAAGUCCCGGCUCUUGUGGGGUGCUCGAUUGGGGAGCGCGUGAGUAACACGUGAGUACCCCCCCCUUGACUUUCGGAUAAAAUCAGGAGACUCGGGCUAAUACCCGAGAGAAUCUCCUGCCGCACGGUGGGGGUUGUGGAAUUUCGGCGGUUGCGGCUGGACUCGCGGCUGCUCGCCGCGCUGGUGGGGUAGUGGCUUCCCACGGCUUUGACGGGUAGCCGGCCUGAGCGGGUGACCGGCCACAUUGGGACUCAGAAGCGGCCCAGACGCCUACGGGAGGCAGCAGUGGGGAAUAUUGCAGGAUGGGCGGAAGCCUGAUGGAGGAACGCCGCGUGGGGGAUGACGGCUUUCGGGUAGUAAAACGCUUUGGUCUGUGACGAAGCGAGAGUGACGGUACCGGGUCAAGAAGCACCGGCUAACUACGUG
rnacentral:rRNA from 1 species